rnacentral:lncRNA from 11 species
UAAUAAUAAUUAUUAUUAUUAUUAUUAUUAUUAUUACCCAUGGUUGACAUGGUAAUGUCUCUAUCCUGACUCAGAGAUAAAUCUGUCUUUAGCCUUAUAUGGUGCUGUCCCAUCGCUCUUGGUGAGGAUUUCCUCUUCCUCUUCUAUAGACAUUUAUGGCACCAGUUUGUUUUGGUUGUUUUUGAGCAGAACAGUCUGAGGAUGCCUGCCAUAGAUGUGGGUAAAACGUCAGGAGAGAAUGCUUCUGGAACAUGGCAGAGUGACAACAACCCAGUUUUGCGAAGCCUGGUUUAGAGAUGUGGGUUGAAAUGACAACAAUAUGAGAAUAAUAAGUGUAUUCUAAUAGUGUGGAGCCUGGGAUCCUUCCCGGAUUGCUCAAGUGUUCUGAUGCUUAAGCAGCACACAAACAUAUUUAUUUGCACACCUUUGGAGCGAGCCGUGAUCUCGCCCGGAAACCGAACGUUGUGGGUCUGGAGAAACUGGAAGGAAGGAAGGAAGAAGGUGAGCUGUGCCUGCCAAGGGACCCCUGGUUCAUGGACUCUGAGCCGUCGACAUGACCAGUGGGGAGGAAAUGGGGAAGGAAGGAAGGAAGGAAAGAAGGCAGAGAGGGGCGGAUUCUUCUCUUGGAACUUCCCCUUUGGUGCCUCCUCCUCCUCCUCCUUCUCUGAGCAAGAGAACAAGAAGCCAAUGUGCAACCACUUCCUUCCCUGCGUGGGAGGAGAAGAGAAACAAGCCUCGAAGGAAGGAGAAAAAAGAGAGGCAAAAGAGAAGGGUGUAGAAAGAGCAUGCUCUCCUGACCUUUCGCCUGCCUCUGUGGCUAGUGUAGCAAGUGUGAAUGUUGCAGUGAGCAAGCUCGAGUCGCCUUGCAAAGCCUUGCAGCUGAGGGUUUUCUGCUGUUGCAAAUUCAGCUGACUUCUCUGCAGCGCCUUUCAUGUUUCAUGUUUCCCUGAAAAUAAGACAUCCCCAGAAAAUAAGACCUAGUAGAGGUUUUGCUGAAUUGCUAAAUAUAAGGCCUCCCCCAAAAGUAAGACCUAGCAAAGUUUUUGUUUGGAAGCAUGCCCGCCAAACAGAACACCAGAGCAUGCAGGAUCGGUAAAUGUACGUACCAUACUGUUGUACAUGGAAAUAAUGGUAGUAACAAGAAAUUCUUGAUAGGAUUCACAGUUUAUCUGGUUAUGCUGGUUUGUGAUGACAACUACUGUACAGUAUAUAAUAAAUGUUCAUUUUUUGUUGAACAAUAAAUGUGAAUUCU